rnacentral:rRNA from 1 species
UCCGCCGGGGGCUCGCGUUGUUCGGAAUUACUGGGCGUAAAGCGCGCGCAGGUGGUCCUUCAAGUCAGAGGUGAAAUCCCAGGGCUCAACCCUGGAACGGCCUUUGAGACUAGAGGACUUGGGUACGGGAGAGGUGAGUGGAAUUCCGAGUGUAGAGGUGAGAUUCGUAGAUAUUCGGAAGAACACCAGUGGCGAAGGCGGCUCACUGGCCCGUUACCGACGCUCAGGCGCGACAGCGUGGGGAGCAAACAGG